GACUAGAUCCACACUCAUCCAC
rnacentral:miRNA from 1 species